GUCAGUAGCGUUAAGUGUAUUCAUACUGCUAUGUAACAGAUAUCUAGAACUUUUUCAUUAUCCCAAACUGAAACUCUGCACCCAUUAAACAGCAACUUCCACCACCCCUUCCCAGGCCCUGGCCACCAUGCUUGUAUUUUGUCUCUUUGAAUUGGACCACUCUGGGUACCUCAUAGGCCAGCACAGGAACAGAGGACGACACCCAUGACCAGCACUGAAUCCGACAGUGACCCUGGGUAAGCAAACGCUCCUGCUUUUCCAGAGGCUGAAAUGUGUGUCUUUGGAGCCAAUGUAGAAAUACAGCCGGAGGUUACUUCAAGCCAAAAGACAGCAAAGGUCGUCUCCUGUGCGUUUCCAGGGACAAGACCCUCUGCACUGUCCAGGGAGGAGGCUCUCGUGCCCAGUGGUUUCUGCAGGCAACACUGGCUCCCGGCACGGUUUGCUCCCCAGAUGGCCCCAUCUCUAUCAGGAGGCGGUGCAGGAAGGCCUGGGGAGAGCGGUGUGCACCUGCGGCCACCAGGGGGCCGGCGACACGACAGUUACCGGGCACUGACAAACUCCUCACAGUUCCCGCUGAGACAAAGCACCCCUGGACUGGCUCCCCUGCUGUCCUCACCCCCACUCCACCCACCGGGCCAUCUUCCCACAUUCUGGCUUGCGUGGAGGUUCUCCAGCCACAGCUGUCAAUAGAGGAUUGGUGAGACCCUGGGGAAGCCCUGAGGUUUAUCAGCGCGCCUGUGGGUUUGCAAGCGUGUGCGUUCUAUGAAGCUCUAGAGGAGGUGAGCUGUGGCCAGUGCAGCCCAAGCGUAGGGCUUUCAGAGCCCAUGGUAACAGUUAUGUCAUUUUUGCCUGCCCUGCGUACGCCCCAGCGCAGGUGCGGCUUCCUGUGUCCCUGAACAAUGCCCUACAAGCCCAGGGGAGAGCGUGAAGCUCAGCUCAGCUGAACUCGCAGCUACUUAGCUAAGGAGGCUAUGAACAUGGCUUCCAGGUUCCCCACUCCUGCGAUAGGAUGGGCCUGCACAUCCCCCCAGCCUCAGAAGGACCCUUUUUUGUCAUAGGCCAGGGUGAAUCUUCACCUCACUCCCUCAGGAAUAAGAAACGACACUUAGGUGCUUCACACAUGUCAUUCACGAGCUCUGUGAGUCAGUGGCCCGUGGUAGAAACUGCUGCUCUACUGUGCCUUAUAUUUUUCACUCAUUCUAAAAUGAGCUGUGGGAUCUUGGGCCCACUCAUUACUUCCACUUAUCAACUGCAUUUGGCCUAUUUCAUUGCUAGGACUUCUAUUUUAUAACCCCUUACAUGGGACUUGCCACCAGAUAGACUCUUUAUACCAUGAUCCAGUUCAAUUUAAUUCACCGCGCAUUUACCAAGAGCCUGCGUGUGCCUGUCCUUUCCCAAAUAGCAAUCUGCUCAGAUGUGUCCGACAGCCCCUCAUUGGCUACGAGAUGAACCACAGAGUUUUUAGCACGGCUCGUGCAGCUCCAAGACCUUCCAGCCCGGUGUGCCAGCCCAGGGUGAGCCUCUGCCAGGUGCCAGCUGCUGUGACUGUGGCCAUUCCCCUGGACCCACUUGCCUGCCGCCCACGCGACCCCCUCCCGCCGGCCACACGGGCCCCUCGCUGAUCCUGAAUUCGCUGCACAUGUUCAUGAGGACUCUGUAUCCUUGUUCCUGUGGUUUCUACUGCUUAGAGUGCUUCUCUUCCUCCACCUAAAACCCACUCAUCUUCCAAGACCCAGCUCAAGAGGGGCCCUCCUGCAGAACCUCCUGGAGACCCCACCCCAACAUCACACACUGCUCCUUCUGCGCACCCGGCCCUCGGCUGUGUUUCCACAGCACUCACCACUGAUGACCUUGUGUACCUGUCUGUGUUCAUGCGUCUCUCCCUUUGCUUCAAACUGUUAACUUCUUGAGGACAGGAAUGAUGUUACACCCAGCUCAGAACCUAACUAUGUUUAAUUUGCAGGGCCCCAGGCACUGAACGUAAGAGGAUAGAUGAAAAGUUCUUCCACUUAGAAAGUUGUGACAGCCACAAGGGGCUCACUCUGGAGGCUGCAGCCGAGGUCUCAGGACACUGAUCAUGCUGACGAAAGGAGGAAUUCUUACCACACCGGUCCCCCACAAUUCUGCUCAGAAUCUGGUCAAGCGAGAGCGGUAAGACUGACUCCAGUCUUGGCCUUGCACCUCCCCUGAGCGGCUAGAGCUUCUUCCUCCCAUCACUCCUCCCUGCACGGCCUCUUACCACUGCAUUUAUUAAAAAGCAGAGAAUCUGGAGGGUGCUGAUCCUGGAGCACAACCCCAAAUCCACCCAGCUGCCCGGAGGCUCAUGAGAGGCAGAAGAACUGUGAGCCACGCUGAGCCGAGCCCACUCUUGAAAAUGUCCUCAGUAAAGCCUGAUUGGUGUCCACACUGCAGGACACUGCGUUGCUUGCAUUUGCAGGUGGUGCCAGUGGGGACAAUUGCCCCCCACCCCUGAAUAUGGGUUUUUGGGAGUGUGGACCAGCUGAGCUGAUCUGGGGCGGGCAGACUCCCUCUUGUGCUGGUGGACAGCUUGCCCGGUUGGGGUUGUCACUGACCAUGUGAAGAUGGGAUUGUGUUGAGUAUCACAGAAGCCCUUGACGCGGAAGUGUGCAGGGAACUUUGCGGAAAGCAGAGUCCAUCUCCUUGACCCUCCUGGCUGUUUGGAUGUUCGAGUCCCCCGCAGGGCAUUUUCCUCAUGGCUGGAGCAGCCUGGCCCUUCUCACUGGAGGCCUGUUUUCAGGAAAUAUUCUGCUCAGGGGAUCAUUGUGGGGAGACUGGGCUCAUGCCCCAUCACAGAAGAGACUCCUCUGGGGCCCAAAUGCAAACUGGAGUAGCCCAAGGAGGCUGAGGGAGCUUUCCUCCACCUCAGCCAUCUGCCCUCGACUAAGGAAGCUGCAGGCCUGAGUGGACUGCUCCCGGGAAGCCACUUUCAUGGCGUCCCCUCUCCAGGGUGCCCAUCUACCUGGAGCGUCAUCAUCGUCACUGCUGGAGUCAUGUCUCCUGUUGCCAAUCCAAGCUCUGGAGACACAAGUACCACAAGAAAGGUGUUACCCAGAGGCACUCGCCCAUCCUCCCUGCUGCACGGGAGGCCACACCAGCUGCCACAGCAACUCUCUGCUCCGUCCUCUGCUUUCUCAGAACUAACCUGGGCUCUCUGGAAUCAGAGACCUUCAACAAGUCACUGCUCACAUUUGCAAAUGUUCACAUCAAGAGAGGACCCCCUUUCCACGUGCCACUCCCCUCUCUUCCGGAUCAUCGCAGCUCUCCCCACCAGCCUUAUCAAUGUGGGGCUCCAACCCUACAGGUCAGUGAUUCACAAACAGGCACUGUCCCAGGUUGGAGCCACUGCCACGAGCCUGUUCUGCACAGACGGGAAUGUUCCCUCUGCCUUGUGAGCGCAGGGCUAUCGGGCACUGGAAAUAUGCCUGGUGUGAUGAGGUACUGGAGAUUACAUUUGAAAAUUAAUUUAAAAUACAGAUGCACCUGGUUAAUGACUGUGGCACCAGGGAGCCCAGAACUGGGAUUCAGAGAUGAGGGAGACGUCACCUCCCCGCCCCUGGGUUUUCUUUCCAGCGUAGCCAUCAAUGGCCUAGUGUUAUCUUUCAUCCAGUACGUACUUCCUGGGCACAGGCAUAAGUAUCCGGUGCUCUGUGAGGCCCUAGGGGUGCUGAACACUGAGUCACAUCCAGGUCCUAGAGGGGUUCACAGCUGGGGGUGAGGUGUAAACAGAGUGAAGGGCAUGGCCAGCAAAUCCUGUGCUGGAAAAUCAGGGCAGCUGGAGUGAGGGGAGGGGACACCCCACUGUCCCCAGGAGCCCACACACCCAGCCGAAUUUGGCUUUUAAUUCACCUUUCUUGUGAUGUCUUUUGCUGAAUUUGCUGUCAUGAUUGUCCCGAUUAAAAGAGAGAGCAUUGUGUGUUCCCUCUA